rnacentral:rRNA from 1 species
UAGGGAGGAGGCAAGCGUUAUCCGGAAUUAUUGGGCGUAAAGCGUCCGUAGGUGGUUCACCAAGUCUGCUGUCAAAGGGUGGGGCUUAACCUCAUAAAGGCAGUGGAAACUGGUGAGCUAGAGUGCGGUAGGGGUAAGGGGAAUUCCCAGUGUAGCGGUGAAAUGCGUAGAGAUUGGGAAGAACAUCGGUGGCGAAAGCGCCUUACUGGGCCUGCACUGACACUGAGGGACGAAAGCUAGGGGAGCUAAAGGG